GACUCUUAACCAAAGUGAAUCUUUUGACAGUGCAUACCGCGGGAGGUCACAAGCCAGCUGACAGAUCUGAUUCCCGACUCCGAGCCUAUCAAACUUGAAACUCCUGAUGGCCGCACGUACAGUGUCGAAUUCGCCAAGUAUGUCCUGAUAAUUCUUACGACUGGGUGGCGGGACUUUGUGGAAGCAAAUCACAUACAACAAGGUGACCCCAUGCUGUUCGUCUAUGGUGGGAAUUCAACCUUUAAGGUUCACAUAUUCAAUUCACCCGGCCGCAACAAGUUUUUGUCCUCUUCUGAACCACCUUGUGAUCAUCAUGUGCCGAGUGAACAAGUGGUGCCUCAUCCUGAACAUGUUGAUAGCUCAGCCCACUUUGGCUAUACCAUGUUGCCCGGGAGCUUUGUAACCAAAGCACAAGAUGAUAAAUUGCUAGAAUGGGCUAAUACCAUCAAGUCUGGAUUUCCUCUUUUUGUGGCAGCCAUGGACGAGAGCAAUGUCAGCUUGAACGACUGCCAUGUUUACAUACCGUUGUGGCUCGUGGGGCAGUUCAAAGAGGAGGUGGUCAAGAUUGUAGCCCCUGACAAGAGUACAUACGUUGUUGGAGCAAAGAAGCACAAUGAUGAUCAAAUCGUACUCCAAUCUGGCUGGGAUAGGUUUGUGACUGAUCAGCGCAUACAACAGAAUGACUUCCUCAUUUUCAUAAUUGAGGGGGGGACUCGCCUCAAAGUUCUCGUCCUUGACCCAAGCGGUAGUGAGAAAACUUUUGCCAUGGGAAACUCUUCCAAAGUCCAAGAAAAGCCACCACUCCCACCUACAGUUACUAACCGGAGUUCUGAGGACAAUGAAGUUGCUGACCUGAGUUCUGACGAUGAAGUUAUUGACCCGAGUUGUGACGAUGAUGAAGUUGUGGGAAAAGACACCACGGCGUCAAGGAGGGAGCAGCCGCUACGAAGUUGUCGUGCAAAAGCUGAAACGAUGGCUUCAACAUCCUGCCCUUCUACUAAAUCAGGUCGGCGCAAAGCUGGCAACUCUAAUGAAGCCGGUUUAAAAGCUCCUAUGCCCAACAAGUCAUACAUAUUAUCCGAAGGGGCGAGCCUAAGUAAGCAACAGGAGGAGAAAGUUAAGGAGAAGGUCCGGGCGAUUGGAUCUGAUUUCCCUGUGUUUGUGAGGGUGAUGACGGUGCACGGUGUCUGGAGGCCAAUACAGCUGAGAUUCUGCGUGGAAUAUGGUUCAGCAUGUCCUCUCCCGCUCCAACAAACACCUCUCCUACUUGGGAUAGAGGGUAGCGAUAUGCAGUGGCCUAGCAUGCUGGUGGUCAAAAAGUAUAAGAAGGGGUGGUGGAUUUCCUCGUUCUGGAGCGACCUUGUCUUGGAGGCCGGCAUGGAGGCGGGAGACAUCUGCCUCGUCGAACUGGCAGACAGGAGCAGCGAGAGGCUCAGGAUGACGGUCCAUCUGAUCCGCAAGUCAGAAAUGCAGCUCUAGUUAGUGUGUGUGCGGUCUGUAGUAUGAUGGCUUCAAACUCAGCUGAUUAUGCCUUCCCAUGACCUGAUGUUAAGCAAACUCUCUACCAAGUAUGUAAUGCAAUCUGGGGAAACACUGAACCCUCCUUGACCCACA